UACGUAGGGUGCGAGCGUUGUCCGGAAUUAUUGGGCGUAAAGAGCUUGUAGGCGGUUUGUCGCGUCUGCCGUGAAAAUCCGAGGCUCAACCUCGGACUUGCGGUGGGUACGGGCAGACUAGAGUGUGGUAGGGGAGACUGGAAUUCCUGGUGUAGCGGUGAAAUGCGCAGAUAUCAGGAGGAACACCGAUGGCGAAGGCAGCCUCCUGGGCCAACACUGACGCUCAUGCACGAAAGCGUGGGGAGCAAACAGG
rnacentral:rRNA from 1 species